UUGUAACGUUGGGUGUUAACCUAAUCAGUGAUCCUGAAUCAGUUGCCCGUACAACCUGUUCUCCACAAGUAACUGCCAACUUCCCCACAAAAUCAGAGGAGGACAAAUGAUUUCAGACACAAUGUCUUUCAUUAAAUCGCCACAGAGAACAUACGCCUCUCCCAAAGUAUUAAACUCUCAAGCCUGAGAUCCACAGGUUUGCACUCUCCCUAUUGAGCUAAGCGGGUGGGUAGUUUCACCCUUGAAGAAGCAUUCUCUGCCUACAAAAAGCACAUAAAUGCAAUUGAAUUUCAUUCAGUGCUUUUGAAAGCUACUCAUUCUAAAUUACUGAUAGAAAACCAUGUUUCUAUAUUCAGUGACAAUGACCUUGACCAAAGCUACCUAAAAUGAAACAAAAACAAAUUGGUCCGUAUUAAAGCUGUCUUUGGUCUGCUUACUUCAUUAUAUAAGUUAUUGUGAGAAAACCACUUUUCUAUUUUUAAUACAAGAAACGCGGCAAUGCCACGAAACCAGGUUUUCAACACUUUUCAUGAGAAUAAACAAGAGUGCCAGAAUGUCACAAUAUACGCCCGUCACAGCAAAUUUCUUUACUCUAACACCUGUAUUUGCAGAUGUAAUUUUAAUUUUGUGGUUGUUUAGUAAUCACUGUAAUUCUUUUGCUUUUCUAAGUCCACAAAAAAACUCCUUACCAGGUAGAGAUACCUUAAAAUACACCUAAAAUUAGAAAGUAACAACUAUGUUGUACCACAGAAAAGUGGUCUUGGUUUUUCCCUACGGUCAAUUAUAUAAAAAUAUAAAAAAAAGUACAAUAUAAGUUAUUAAUAGUAACAACUAAGGGAAGUUAAUCUUAAAAAAAAAAAAAAAAAAAAAAAAAAAAAAAAAAAAAAAAAAAACAUUGUAAUUCCACACAGAAAUCCUUACCAGGUAGAGAUUGGUCAAAAUAAACCUCAAAAUUGGAUGUAGCAUGCAUGUUGUACUACAGAAAAGUGGUCUCGAUUUUUCCCUACGUCUAGUAAUGAAAAAGUUACAAUAUAAGCUAUUUAUAGUAACAACAAAGGGAAGUAAUUCUAAAGAAGGGAACUGUGCAAGACACUUCGUCUCAUGAUGUAGCGAUAGGAAAUAGGCGCUUCCGCAUAAUCGGUAUGUGUCGCGCACUAAACUGUUUACGUAUGCACCGGUUAACAAAAUCGAUGUGUUCCGGCACUCGCAGUCAGAAAGAAGCUGUGUGUUCACUGUUGGCACAUUGAAUGAUUGGAUAAAUAAUGCUCUAUUGGAUAAAUACGUAAAGUACAUUGGACAGCUGUGAUUGUGGCGUGGACAGCUGAGAUUGUGUUUUGGACAGCUGAGAUUGUGACUUGGACAGCUGAGAUUGUGGUGUGGACAGCUGAGAUUGGUGUGAACAGCUGAGAUUGUGGUGUUGACAUCUGAAAUUGUGAUUUGGACAGCUGAGAUUGUGACUUGGACAGCUGAGAUUGUGCUGUGGACAGCUAAAAUUGUGGUGUGGAAUAAUGAUAUUGUGGUGUUGACAACAUAUUGUGGUGUGCACAUGUGAUAUUGUGGUGUGAUGGUUUAAAGUAGCAAAGGUAAAGAACGUUUGACAGCUUAGAUUGUGGUGUGGACAGCUGAUAUUGUGGUGUGGACAGCUGAGAUUGUCAUGUGGACUACUUAUAUUGUGGCUUGCAGAGCUGAUAUUGUGUUGUGAUGGUUUAAAGUACUAAAGAUUUAUUCCUUACUACCUUCCUGUCAACUAUAUCUUCCACAGCAUGAUUUAAUCUAGUCCCAAUCAUUGACUCUGGUUACCUCACCAGACGGUCCGUCCACAGAGUCACAAGCAACAGAUACUAAAACUCGGCAAAGUACAUGUACUUCAGUCUUCCAGAGGAUAUUGUUAACAAUGAUGAUUUGAUGUAAAAAAAAAAUGUAUUUGAAUAGCUAUAUUUCUCUUGUGUCACUUGGGUGUCAAAGGUCAUUUUAGAGAUUGUCCGGGCUGUAACUUUGCAACGCAUAAACGGGCUUAAAUGUUUGCCUCAGCUAGACAGUGUUGUGUUGAACUCCCAGUCCUUUUGACCGCUGGUGGGCUCGACAUGUUUCCUGUGGGCAUUUAGUUUAUAUUGCAUAUACUUCAAGUAGAUACACAUUUUAGAAUACCGGUAGAUAACCAAAUAAGAAAGAAAACAUUUUUUUAUUUUACAUAAUAGCAAAAUCUGGAAAAUUUUAACUUCAAUUUUCACUGUUAUAUUAUUAUAUAAUCACUUAUGAUGAGUAUGAAUGCAAUAUAGACACUGUAGACAAUUAAUCCCGCAUUUUUAUUCAUAUGAAGAUACAAUAUCUUGUUAUCUAUUAUUGUCAAUCAUUGGUAUGUACGAUUUUUGCCAUAGGUUUGAAUAGCUGACAAGCAUGGUAGAAAUUAUUAUUAACCAUUAACGGGCUAAAUUUCUAUAAUUAACUUGUCCAUCUUUCAAUAUGGACAGUAUCAUUAAAUGAAAGGGAUGGCUACCAAAACAUACUGACUGAAUGCAAACAGUGAAGAUCUUGAUCAGGCUAUACAGAUGUGCAGGCUGAUCAUGAUCUACACUGUUCACAAAGGCAGAAUCAAUGGUGUCCAGCAUGAUAAGGGUUAAAUCCGUUGUUUUUACUGCCUCCUUUUUGGCUCAUUAUUGUACAAGUACAUAUACAGCAUUGUGUCCAGCAUGAUAAGGGUUAAAUCCGUUGUUUUUACUGCCUCCUUUUUGGCUCAUUAUUGUACAAGUACAUAUACAGCAUUGCUUUUCUAACCAUGUAAUAAUGCAUAUGAUUGGUUUUCAAAAUAACGAAGCUUUUUCUCCUCUCUCACCAUACUUUAAAUAAGUUCAGUUUUAGAAAGUGUUUUGGGGCAAAUUAUAUUCAAAUCAAUGUAGUCAAUGAAUGUGUGCAGUUUCAGGCGAAUGGCUCAAGCAGUUUUAUAUCAAAUUAUAUAGUUAAUUUUGUCCCCUGUGCAUCCUAGAAAGUGUGACAUUUUAUAUGAAGGGUAGUUUUCAACUGUGUUUUAUUUUUUCAAACCAAGCAUUAUUGUAACAGCUUUAAUUAUUUAUGUAAGUCAAACUCUGCACAUUUAAAGGAAAAUACUUUUUUUCAUAAACUACAUUUUAUUCUUACCAAUGUGUCAAAUCUUGUGAUGGAACCCCCUUCACAAAUAAAUAUGAAAAAAUUCUAAAUUUAAAUGUUGAUCACUUCAAUUUCAUAACCCUAUUGCUUUUCUUAUGUCCUAAUGUUUUACAAGAUCUUAAUAUUUUCAGCUAUGAAGAUCCAAUUAAUAUGAUUUUUUGUUUGAUAAAUCAAUUUAGCAGAACCUUGAUGAAUGUCUAUACACCCCAAAAUGUCCACUUUGCACCAUUUCAGUUGUUAAGUGUCAGAUAUAUUUUGAGCCGCGCCAUGAGAAAACCAACAUGGUGGCUUUACGACCAACAUAGAUCCAGACCAGCCUGCGCAU